UUAACUCAAAUUUGUAUGGAGUUGGUACGUUUGCCUACGUUUGCCGCUAGGGGCGCUGUUCUAACUGCAUACUAACUGGAGUUA
rnacentral:pre_miRNA from 1 species